CAGUUCGGAUUGCAGUCUGCAACUCGACUGCAUGAAGCUGGAAUCGCUAGUAAUCGCAGAUCAGCACGCUGCGGUGAAUAAGUUCUCGGGUUUUGUACACACCGCCCGUCACGCCAUGGAAGUUGGGAACACCCGAAGUUAUCCUACCGCAAGGUGGAUGCCUAAGGUGGAAUCAAUGACUGGGGCGAAGUCGUAACAAGGUAGCCGUACGGGAACGUGCGGCUGGAUCACCUCCUUUCUAA
rnacentral:rRNA from 1 species